CAGCAGCCGCGGUAAGACGUAGGGGGCAAGCGUUGUUCGGAAUUAUUGGGCGUAAAGGGUGCGUAGGUGGAUUCGUAAGUCGAGGUUGAAAUAUCCGGGCUCAACUCGGGGACCGGCCUCGAUACUGCGGAUCUCGAGUCAAGAAGAGGGUAUUGGAACUCCGAGUGUAGCGGUGAAAUGCGUAGAUAUUCGGAAGAACACCAGUGGCGAAGGCGGAUACCUGGUCUUGCACUGACGCUGAGGCACGAAAGCUGGGGAAGCAAACGGGAUUAGAUACCCCGGUAGUCCCAGCCGUAAACGAUGAAUGCUAGGUGUGAGGGGUAUCGACCCCCUUCGUGCCGCAGUUAACACAAUAAGCAUUCCGCCUGGGGAGUACGGCCGCAAGGUUAAAACUCAAAGGAAUUGACGG
rnacentral:rRNA from 1 species